rfam:Thiomonas bhubaneswarensis strain DSM 18181 genome assembly, contig: Ga0061069_104
CGCCUAUUGCGCCCUGCGCGGAUCGACCGCCAUCACAAGAAGUGAACGCCUUCAUGGAUGAGCACCGGGGUGCUCACGGGGUCGAGCCGAUCUGCACCGCCUUGCAGGUCGCCCCG